rnacentral:tRNA from 1 species
GCCAGUGUGAUGUAGUGGUUUGAGUGUUGGACUACAACUCUGGAGAUCAGGGUUCAAAUCCCAGCUCAGCCA